UAUNNNAUANUANAAAUUUAAAAACUCAAAGAACUUUGGCGGUGCUUUANAACCACUCAGGGGAACCUGUCUCAUAAUCGAUAAUCCACGUUGUACCUGACCUUUUUUUGUAUUCAGUUUGNAUACCGUUGUCGUCAGGUAACUUUUUAGAAAUUAGAAGUUAGCAGCANAAAUAAAAAAUAAUUUAAUACGUCAAAUCAAGGUGCAGCUAAUGAAAAGGGGAGGAUGGGUUACAAUUAUAUAAUUUAUAAUAACGGAUAGGUAUAUGGAGUAUGUAUUAAUUAUAAGGCGGACUUGAAAGUAAAUUAGGUUAUAUAAAUAACUUGAAUGAGGCUCUGAAACGUGU
rnacentral:rRNA from 1 species